ACACACACACACACACACACACACACACACACACACCUCUUUAAGGCUAUGCCCUCAUCCAGGUUCCCUCUCCAUCUCCUCAAAACACAAGCCACACACACUGCUCCUCAGAAGUAUGUGGGUGGAGCUUCCUGCCUCAUCAGACCAUCUGACGGGGAAGCACAUUCUUACCGUUCUGUUUCUGCCUGACAGCAGAACUGAGCCUUGGAAAGCUAGUACACGAGUGUGCCCAUGACUGCGGAGGCCGAGGAAGCUCCAGAAGGGUGGCCACACAUAGGUGCUGGGGCCUCACACAUAAGCAGCAUAGUGCCCCCAAGGACCACAGCCAUCUGUACAUGAUUGCCUCCUGGAGGGGUUUGGUAGGAUUGAUGGAGCAAGAGGUCAAGGGCUGCCCGUGGCAGGUGGAAAGUCAUGGUAUUUCCUCUUCCUGCCUCUCAAACUCACCUUAGAAACUACUGAUCCUCCCACUGCCCCAGCUGAUGCUUUGAACUUUCUCAAAAAACUUGUGUUUGAGCAACUGGAUUUCACAGAUACCUGAAUGGUCACUUAGGGCCAUCCUUGGACCUGUCCCUUGGACAUGUCUUCUGCUGAAACAUCCUCCAUGGCCUCAACCACAGCUGAGUGACAGGAAGGUGAGACAGGGACUGUUCUCUGGCAGUGAGGAAUGAAGGAAGUCUUACAUUGUGUAGGUUAUGAGCUCUUGAGAGCAGGCAGGAGGUAAAUGGGAUAAGGACAGAGCUAGAAGUCCUAUGAAUAUGGAGGGGAUAUACAGAGGUGCGUGUGUCCGCCCCGGAGUAGGGUAGCCACAAGAAGUGUAUGUGUACACAAGUGCGUGCGGAACUCGGGCUGAAGGGAGUGACCCUGCAAAUGUGACUUUCCAGAUAACAAGACUCUUCUGAGCCAGCUCUGACAACUGAUCUCUUCCCUGCCUGUCCACCUGGGGUGUGUGUGUGUGUGUGUGUGUGUGUGUGUGUGUGUGUGUGUGUAUUUUCAUAU